rnacentral:misc_RNA from 1 species
GAUGAAGAACGUAGCGAAAUGCGAUAAGUAAUGUGAAUUGCAGAAUUCAGUGAAUCAUCGAAUCUUUGAACGCACAUUGCGCCCGCUAGUAUUCUGGCGGGCAUGCCUGUUCGAGCGUCAUUUCAACCAUCAAGCCCUGCUUGUGUUGGGGUCCUGCGGCUGCCCGCAGGCCCUGAAAACCAGUGGCGGGCUCGCUAGUCACACCGAGCGCAGUAGCACAUCUCGCUCAGGGCGUGCGGCGGGUUCUUGCCGUAAAACACCCCCUUUUUACCAAGGUUGACCUCGGAUCUGGUAGGAAUACCCGCUGAACUUAAGCAUAUCAAUAAGCGGAGGA